GCAGGCCUAACACAUGCAAGUCGAACGGUAAGGCUCCUUCGGGAGUACACGAGUGGCGCACGGGUGAGUAACGCGUAUACAAUCUACCUAUUACUGGGGUAUAGCCCGAAGAAAUUUGGAUUAAUCCCCCAUAGUAUAUAGAUAUGGCAUCAUAAUUAUAUUAAAGCUUAGGCGGUAAUAGAUGAGUAUGCGUCCCAUUAGUUAGUUGGUAAGGUAACGGCUUACCAAGGCAGCGAUGGGUAGGGGUCCUGAGAGGGAGAUCCCCCACACUGGUACUGAGACACGGACCAGACUCCUACGGGAGGCAGCAGUGAGGAAUAUUGGACAAUGGAGGCAACUCUGAUCCAGCCAUGCCGCGUGCAGGAAGACUGCCCUAUGGGUUGUAAACUGCUUUUAUACAGGAAGAAACCUCCCGACGUGUCGGGAAUUGACGGUACUGUAAGAAUAAGGAUCGGCUAACUCCGUGCCAGCAGCCGCGGUAAUACGGAGGAUCCGAGCGUUAUCCGGAAUCAUUGGGUUUAAAGGGUCUGUAGGCGGGCUGAUAAGUCAGCGGUGAAAGUCUGUCGCUUAACGAUAGAAUUGCCGUUGAUACUGUUGGUCUUGAGUCAUUAUGAAGUGGUUAGAAUGAGUAGUGUAGCGGUGAAAUGCAUAGAUAUUACUCAGAAUACCGAUUGCGAAGGCAGAUCACUUAAUAAUGUACUGACGCUGAGGGACG
rnacentral:rRNA from 1 species